UUUGUGACUGAGCGGCGGACGGGUGAGUAACGCGUGGGUAACCUGCCUCAUACAGGGGGAUAACAGUCAGAAAUGACUGCUAAUACCGCAUAAGACCACGGUACCGCAUGGUACAGUGGUAAAAACUCCGGUGGUAUGAGAUGGACCCGCGUCUGAUUAGGUAGUUGGUGGGGUAACGGCCUACCAAGCCGACGAUCAGUAGCCGACCUGAGAGGGUGACCGGCCACAUUGGGACUGAGACACGGCCCAGACUCCUACGGGAGGCAGCAGUGGGGAAUAUUGCACAAUGGAGGAAACUCUGAUGCAGCGACGCCGCGUGAAGGAUGAAGUAUUUCGGUAUGUAAACUUCUAUCAGCAGGGAAGAAAAUGACGGUACCUGACUAAGAAGCCCCGGCUAACUACGUGCCAGCAGCCGCGGUAAUACGUAGGGGGCAAGCGUUAUCCGGAUUUACUGGGUGUAAAGGGAGCGUAGACGGCACGGCAAGCCAGAUGUGAAAGCCCGGGGCUCAACCCCGGGACUGCAUUUGGAACUGCUGAGCUAGAGUGUCGGAGAGGCAAGUGGAAUUCCUGGUGUAGCGGUGAAAUGCGUAGAUAUU
rnacentral:rRNA from 1 species